GAUGAACGCUAGCGGCAGGCUUAAUACAUGCAAGUCGAGGGGCAGCGCAGUGUAGCAAUACAUGGGCGGCGACCGGCGCACGGGUGCGUAACACGUAUGCAACCUGCCUUCAACAGGGAGAUAGCCCGGGGAAACUCGGAUUAAUAUCCCAUAACACAGUGCUAUCGCAUGAUAGUAUUGUUAAAGCUCCGGCGGUUGAA
rnacentral:rRNA from 1 species